UUCAAUGUUGAAAAUAAUCCAGUCAAGAAUUUUUUUUCCUAAAAGUUGUGGGCAUAAGAUUCAGGGAUUUCAAGGCCAAGUUAGUGAGUGGUUGGAUUACUGAAACAAGACAGAGAGUUUGAAAUCAGUGAAGUGUGCACAACAAACGGGCAAUACAGAGUGCGGCUACUACGUGAUGAAGUUCAUGUACGAUAUAGUCACAAGAUCUCGAAAAGUUAUUUAAUAAUCCGAGGGAGCGGCCUUUCACCUUUGAGGAGAUAGAUGAAGUUCGAGAAAUGUUGGCAAACUUCAUUACCAAUGAUUGUCUUUGAUAUUUUCUUGUACUGUAUCUUAAAUUACGGAUGCUAGCUAGUUUUUCAUAUGAUUGUAAUGUA